rnacentral:rRNA from 1 species
AGGGUGUAAACGCUGCGGGCUUGGUGUUGGGGGUCCUUUGAGGGCGCCCAGUGCCGGAGGGAAGUUGUUAAGCCUGCUGCUUGGGGAGUACGUCCGCAAGGAUGAAACUUAAAGGAAUUGGCGGGGGAGCACCACAACGGGUGGAGCCUGCGGUUUAAUUGGACUCAACGCCGGGAAGCUCACCGGAUAAGACAGCUGAAUGAUAGUCGGGAUGAAGACUCUACUUGACUAGCCGAGAGGAGGUGCAUGGCGUAGUCGUGU